rnacentral:sRNA from 1 species
UCGCUCUAUCUUGUACCUGCCUUCACCUGUAUGACAUCCUACAAAAGGUAUACUGAAAGGCACCUGAAAGACAGGGCUCAGGUCUGUAACGCAUCUUCUAAGAUGAUAAGAGAGGUCAGUAUGGCUAGGGAAAUCAUGGGAAGACAGAGGCUUCCUAGGGUCCUCCAUAGUCUGCCAUCUCUAAGCUGAUGAUUUAUGACAUAGUAAGUCCAGGGCAUAGUAUGAAGUAGGACAGGGUCCUUGGGGCUGAGAGUAGGCCCAUCUUCAGGUUAGCCUUCUUAUUUUUGUCUAUUCUCAGCAUACACCUGUGCCCAUGAGCCUCUGACCUACUUCUCUAAUUUUCCCUGCAUCGUCUGCAGGAGGAGUGUGGUGGGGACCAGGUACCAGACUUGUUCCUGUGUGGACUCCUAUACCUCCAGGAAUCAGCACUCAGCCCCCAUUUCAUCUCCACAAUCAACUGGUUUAUGGCAUCACUCCAAAUUUUUUGGAUGAAGAAACUAGAGAUUAAAGAAGCCAUGUCACUUGCUCUGGUCACACAGACAGUGGAAGAAGCAGACCCUGAGCUUAUACCUUUUGUGGGACCAUCUUCCCCAGCUUACCACCACAAGCCAUGUCUUCAAGAGGGUCCUGAUACCUUCCAUCCAUUCUCCAGGAGAAGCCACCAUAGACCUGACAGGUUCCAGUUCAUCUGGUUCCUGCAGGUUGCUCAAUGGUUUAGAAUAUAGUUCUGGCCUUGCAGUGGAAUAAACAAAGAACAAGUCUUAGA